rnacentral:rRNA from 1 species
CAGCCGCCGCGGGAAUACGAAGGGGGCUAGCGUUGCUCGGAAUGACUGGGCGUAAAGGGCGCGUAGGCGGUUUGUACAGUUGGAUGUGAAAUUCCUGGGCUUAACCUGGGGGCUGCAUUCAAUACGUGCAGGCUUGAGUGGGGAAGAGGGUCGUGGAAUUCCCAGUGUAGAGGUGAAAUUCGUAGAUAUUGGGAAGAACACCGGUGGCGAAGGCGGCGACCUGGUCCUUGACUGACGCUGAGGCGCGAAAGCGUGGGGAGCAAACAGGAUUAGAUACCCGUGUAGUCCCUGUCUCUUAUAC